rnacentral:tRNA from 1 species
CCUUCGAUAGCUCAGUUGGAAGAGCGUGGGACUGUAACUGGUUACUUGCGAUCAUCCCAAGGUCACUGGUUCGACCCCGGUUCGAAGGA